UGCAAGUCGAACGCGUUGGCCCAAUUGAUUGAUGGUGCUUGCACCUGAUUGAUUUUGGUCGCCAACGAGUGGCGGACGGGUGAGUAACACGUAGGUAACCUGCCCAGAAGCGGGGGACAACAUUUGGAAACAGAUGCUAAUACCGCAUAANANCGUUGUUCGCAUGAACAACGCUUAAAAGAUGGCUUCUCGCUAUCACUUCUGGAUGGACCUGCGGUGCAUUAGCUUGUUGGUGGGGUAACGGCCUACCAAGGCGAUGAUGCAUAGCCGAGUUGAGAGACUGAUCGGCCACAAUGGGACUGAGACACGGCCCAUACUCCUACGGGAGGCAGCAGUAGGGAAUCUUCCACAAUGGGCGCAAGCCUGAUGGAGCAACACCGCGUGAGUGAAGAAGGGUUUCGGCUCGUAAAGCUCUGUUGUUAAAGAAGAACACGUAUGAGAGUAACUGUUCAUNCGUUGACGGUAUUUAACCAGAAAGUCACGGCUAACUACGUGCCAGCAGCCGCGGUAAUACGUAGGUGGCAAGCGUUAUCCGGAUUUAUUGGGCGUAAAGAGAGUGCAGGCGGUUUUCUAAGUCUGAUGUGAAAGCCUUCGGCUUAACCGGAGAAGUGCAUCGGAAACUGGAUAACUUGAGUGCAGAAGAGGGUAGUGGAACUCCAUGUGUAGCGGUGGAAUGCGUAGAUAUAUGGAAGAACACCAGUGGCGAAGGCGGCUACCUGGUCUGCAACUGACGCUGAGACUCGAAAGCAUGGGUAGCGAACAGGAUUAGAUACCCUGGUAGUCCAUGCCGUAAACGAUGAGUGCUAGGUGUUGGAGGGUUUCCGCCCUUCAGUGCCGGAGCUAACGCAUUAAGCACUCCGCCUGGGGAGUACGACCGCAAGGUUGAAACUCAAAGGAAUUGACGGGGGCCCGCACAAGCGGUGGAGCAUGUGGUUUAAUUCGAAGCUACGCGAAGAACCUUACCAGGUCUUGACAUCUUGCGCCAACCCUAGAGAUAGGGCGUUUCCUUCGGGAACGCAAUGACAGGUGGUGCAUGGUCGUCGUCAGCUCGUGUCGUGAGAUGUUGGGUUAAGUCCCGCAACGAGCGCAACCCUUGUUACUAGUUGCCAGCAUUAAGUUGGGCACUCUAGUGAGACUGCCGGUGACAAACCGGAGGAAGGUGGGGACGACGUCAGAUCAUCAUGCCCCUUAUGACCUGGGCUACACACGUGCUACAAUGGACGGUACAACGAGUCGCGAACUCGCGAGGGCAAGCAAAUCUCUUAAAACCGUUCUCAGUUCGGACUGCAGGCUGCAACUCGCCUGCACGAAGUCGGAAUCGCUAGUAAUCGCGGAUCAGCAUGCCGCGGUGAAUACGUUCCCGGGCCUUGUACACACCGCCCGUCACACCAUGAGAGUUUGUAACACCCAAAGUCGGUGGGGUAACCUUUUAGGAGCCAGCCGCC
rnacentral:rRNA from 1 species